UAGUCUGGUGCCAGCAGCCGCGGUAAUUCCAGCUCCAAUAGCGUAUAUUAAUGUUGUUGCAGUUAAAAAGCUCGUAGUUGGAUUCCUGGCCUGGGGUAGCCGGUCCGCCUUGCAAAAGGUGCGCACUGUGCGGCCUCGGCCAUCCUUGAGAAGAGCGGUUCUGGCAUUCAGUUGUCGGGGUCGGGAUUCUCGACGUUUACUGUGAAAAAAUCAGAGUGUUCAAAGCAGGCUUACGCCUUGAAUACAUUAGCAUGGAAUAAUGAGAUAGGACCUUGGCGGUCUAUUUUGUUGGUUUGCACGCCGAGGUAAUGAUUAAAAGGGACGGUUGGGGUUCUUCGUAUUCAAUUGUCAGAGGUGAAAUUCUUGGAUUUAUGGAAGACGAACUGCUGCGAAAGCGUCGAACAAGGACGUUCUCAUUAAUCAAGAACGAAAGUUAGGGGAUCGAAGAUGAUUAGAUACCAUCGUAGUCUUAACCAUAAACUAUGCCGAUUCAGGAUUGGCGGUCGUUUGUUCUCGACUCCGUCAGCACUGUAUGAGAAAUCAAAAUCUUUGGGUUCCGGGGGGAGUAUGGUCGCAAGGCUGAAACUUAAAGAAAUUGACGGAAGGGCACCACCAGGAGUGGAGCCUGCGGCUUAAUUUGACUCAACACGGGGAAACUUACCAGGCCCAGACAUAGUAAGGAUUGGCAGAUUGAGAGCUCUUUCUUGAUUCUAUGGGUGGUGGUGCAUGGCCGUUCUU
rnacentral:rRNA from 1 species